AAAAAUCUAGCUAACACACAAAGAUGGCAGCCUUACGAUUCUGAUUCAACACUUUAAAAAAUGUUGAAUUAUCUUAAAUGGGUUAACUAAAGUUCAACUGUUCCUGCAUCGGUUGAGCAACAUAUUGGUCAUCGUGAGCUUACAAUCCAAGCAGUUAAGAGAGGAAUUCCGUUUCUUCUGUCAUUUGUUGGAAUAUACGGAAAGGGAUAAGAAAUAGUAAAUUAGUGUUGAAAGUAAAAUUGAGCUUGAAAUCAAUUUGCAAAAGAACCAGAAAAGACAAAGGGAGUGCCACCACUUGACGUGUCGGAAUUGUUAGCAUAUUUUGUUACACACACCCAUUUUGAUCUGUUAUGCAAAUAAUUGUGUCUAUCAACCUCAAAUCGGCUUAUCAGUAGAUGUGAUAUAUGUUUGAGCGGUCCGUUCGAGGUGCCGAGGUUGUUGGGCAAAAAUGUUCCGGUUAAAAGUUGUCUAAUUUCCGGGUUGGUUGUAACUUAAGCUCAAAUUCAAUACAAAGGUUCGAUAUUUUAACUCCUCCGUCUAUUUCUUUUUCAUCAACUAUAGUGCUUUAGUGGUGAAUAAUGUCUGCAUGCUGAAUAUAAUUUUAUCCUAUGGUAGAAAAGAGUUAUAAUAAAUUUUUAGAAAUGACAACCACUCGCCAUAAGAAGCAUGCUUGGAGAAUGUCAUGGUGAUAGUUGCUGUUUCGUUUUCUCUUUUCUUUGCUUACAUGUUUCGAUUUCAAUUUUGCAUUGCUAUGUAGUUAGUUAGUUUCAAUACUUCAGAUUUUUGAUUGGGUGUAAACAUUUUUAGUCCUAUGCAAUUUAGGACAAAAAACAAUUUUUUUAAUCAUUUGUUGAUAUUGGUUACAUUUUAUAGUUGAAAACAUCUAUAUUAUAUUAUUAUAACUGUAGUGGAUCAUGAGCAGACUUAUACUGAUUUGUUGUAGACGGUUGAGAGAAUUAGUCGUUGUCUACUUUAUUAUUAAUAAUUCGAGGAUAAAUAAAUCAUCGAGACUAUGGGUACGGAUCCCGUGGCAUGGUCACGAUACGUAAUUCCCAAACUCGGGUGCGCAUUUAUAUGACCAAAAUCCAAAUCUCAACAACGUUAAAAUAUGUCAAAGACCACGAGUGCAUUUAUGUGACGUGGUUCAAGACAUGUUUUAAUAACGUUGCAAUCUUCCUAAAAAUGAAUAAAAACGGUUAAGGUUGAAAAUGCACAUAGGUUUGAACAUGUACUAAAAUCAGAUAAUUAAGCCGAAUAUAACAGUUGAGCGACCGUGCUAGAACCACGGAACUCGGGAGUGCCUAACACCUUCUCCCAGGUUAACAGAGUUUCUUACCCGGAUUUCUGGUUUGCGGACUGUUAAACAGAGUCAAUCUUUUCUUCGAUUCGGGAUUGGAACCGGUGACUUGGGACACCAUAAAUCUCUCAAGUGGCGACUCUGAAUCUUUUAAUAAUAAAUUCCGUUUCGAUUGUCACUUAAAUUGGAAAAACUCUAUUAUAUACCCCUUUACGGGGGUGUAGUGAAAAAAGAGGUGUGACAAUGACCUACGAUAAUUAUAUCGUUGCGAUUCACAGUUAUAUAAUAGCCGUUUAUGUUAAUUUCAUUCAUUAAGUUCAUACUUAUCGGCCAAUGGCAACCACAAGUCCACCGACUAAGGUUGUAGUCAUAUGACCUAUGAUAAUUAUAUCGUUGCAAUUCACAGUCAUAUAAUAGUCGUUUAUGUUAAUUUCACUCAUUAAGUUCAUACGUAUCGGCCAAUGGCAACCAUAUAAGUCCACCGACUAAGGUUGUAUUCAUAUGACCUACGAUAAUUACAUCGUGCGAUUCACAGUUAUAUAAUAGCCGUUUAUGUUAAUUUCAUUCAUUAAGUUCAUACGUAUCGGCCAAUGGCAACCAUAUAAGUCCACCGACUAAGGUUGUAGUCAUAUGACCUACGAUAAUUAUAUCGUUGCGAUUCACAGUUUUUUAAUAGUUCUUUUGGUGAAAUAAAGAAUUUUUAUUUAAUCACCAGCACAAAACAUUACAAGUAUAUCCUCACAAAAACAUUACAAGUAUAUCCCAAUCUAUCCACACCCCUUGCUGAGUAUAUUCUAACUAUUCCUAUCUCUUUUCUGUUAAGUAACUAUUCCUAAUGAGCCCUUCUAUUUACAGCAACUGUUCUAUCCAUAUUCUUUGUCUUACUUCUAUCCUUCUCCGACCCAGGAUGUCAUGAAUUUUGUCUCUGCAUUCCUCCUUUAUUGCUUUCACUAUCAUGUGAGGUCUAUCAACCUUUUGAUUCCAUAGAGCAUCAUCUCUCACCCUCCAUGUCUAAUAUUAAGCUAAAUUUAUCGAAUGCAUUAAGCAGUCUAGUAACAAAUACACAACAAAUGUCACGACCCCAAAUACCAGUCGUGAUGGCACCUAUCACAUUACUAGGCAAGCCAACUAAUCAAUAACCACAACCUUCUUUCUAAUAACAUUAAGCCAUUUUUCUGACGCAAGUUUUAGAUACCAAAUUCAUUAUAAGCAUUACGACAACAAAGUUAUACGGAAAGUCAAAAUAACAAUAAACUACACAGCCCCAACAAUCUGGUGUCACGAGUCUAGAGCCUCUAAUACACGUCUGAAUACCUAUGACAUCAAUAGUCUAGGAAAUGCGGAAAAAAUAAUAAUAAGAUAGGAGGGAGAGAACAGGACUGCGGACGCCAUGCAGCUACCACGAAGUCUUCGUCAAAUACUGAAACAGUUGGAAGCCCUCACUCGGCCGCUCGGGCACCUGGAUCUGCACACAAGGUGCAGAGAGUAACGUGAGUACGCCAACUCAGUAAAUAACUAGAGUAAAUAAGGACUGAAAGCAGUGACGAGCAGUUUAAAAAUACAUAACUGGAUAAUCAACAGAAUAUCAGGUCAUCUUUACAAUUUAAAAUCAGUUUUUGUUAUAAAAUCAUAUUUCCAGUUUAAACAUUUGGAAUCAAUUACUUGGCGGUAUAUCAAAUAGAAGCUUAUUUAAAAGAAGAGUGAAAUCAGUGAAAACAUCAUAACAAGGCCUCUCAGGCAAGGAAUCACUUAGAUUAUGGCCCCUCGGGCAGCCUCUCAGUCACUCAUGACUCGACUCUCGUCACACAGUACUCACUCUCAGCACGCGGCUCAUUAGUAUCUCAUAAUAAUAAAAAUCAUAGUAAUCGCUGUGGCGUGCAGCCUAAUCUGUAAUUUAUAGUCGACUACGCUCACUGGGGGUGUACAGACUCCGGAAGGCUCCUACAGUCCAAGUGUCAUAUCGCUGCGGCGCGCAACCCGAUCCAAUAUAUAUAUAUAUCGCUGCAGCUUGCAGCCUGAUCCAUAUGAGUAUCGCUGCGGCGUGCGACCCGAUCCAUAACUCACAUAUAUACAAUUAGGUUCUCCACCUCUCUCAGUCAUUAACCUCACAGCCUUACGGGCACAACAAUAGAAUCUAGGGAACUCAGCCCAAACAGUCCUCACAAUUAGGAGUAGAGUGAUAAAAUCAGUUUUAAUCAUUUAAACAGGUAAAACAAGAUUGAAGAUAUACUUCUAGCAAGUAAAACGAGGAAAAAUAGUCAAAAUGCCCCUAAGGGUUUCUACAGGUCGGCACAAGGCCCCAAACAUGGUAUACAACCCAUAAUACGGUAUAAAUGACUGAAAUAUAGAAUGAUAUAAGAUGUUCAAAUCAAUUACGUGGCUUAAUAGUCGCUACGAGACGAACUAAGUCACAAUCUCUACCGGUGCACGCCCACACGCUCGUCACCUAGCAUGUGCGUCACCACANNNNNNNNNNNNNNNNNNNNNNNNNNNNNNNNNNNNNNNNNNNNNNNNNNNNNNNNNNNNNNNNNNNNNNNNNNNNNNNNNNNNNNNNNNNNNNNNNNNNNNNNNNNNNNNNNNNNNNNNNNNNNNNNNNNNNNNNNNNNNNNNNNNNNNNNNNNNNNNNNNNNNNNNNNNNNNNNNNNNNNNNUUUGCCCCUCGAAUCGGCCUCCACAUGCGCAAAUCUAUCCAAAGUCAGAAUGAGGACGUCAAAAUAUGCCAAGGGAACGAAGCCCAAGCGAAAACAGUCGAAAAAUAUCAAAACUCGACCCCCGGGCUCACGUCUCAAAAUUUAGAAAUUUUUACAUCAAUAAAUUUCUCGUCUCCCCACAAAUCUAUGCAUAUCAAGAACACUAAAAUCGGAGUCCAAAUGACCCCUCAAAUCCUCCUUCAAAGGUCUCUUAAACUUAAGCCAUAAUCCUCUAUUUUUAGCCCUUUAAUUCCUUUAAUUAUAGCCUUAAUCCAUGAAAUACUACCAUAGAAAUGUGUUUUAGAUCCAAAAUCCUUACCUUAACGAAGUCAUCCUAGAUUUCUCUCUUCAAAAUCACCCAAAGCUCCCAAAUCCGUGUUUAAAAAUGGUGAAACCCUUCAAAAAAUCGCGAAGGAAGACAUAUAUACAUUCUACCCAGGGAUACCCGCAUUUGCGGUCAAAAACCCGCUUCUGCGGUACCGCAUUUGCGGCCCCUCAUCCGCUUCUGCAGAAUUCACUUAACCGGCCUAGAUCUACAUCUGCGAUCGGCCUUCUGCACCUGCGGCUUCACAGAUGUGACCCCUCAACCGCAUCUGCGGUUCCUGACAAACUCUUCCAAAACCGCUUCUGCGGCUCAUCUUCCGCACGUGCGGCACCGCAGAAGCCUAGGAUUUGAGGUUCGUAGCUAAUUUAGGCUUGAAAUGUCGAAAGUUGAAUUUUGGAAGUUUCCGGUUUAAUAGUGAGAUUUUGAUCCGAGGGUCGGAAUGGAAUUCUGAGAGUUGCAGUAGUUUUGGUUGGGUUUUUGAUCGAAAGCGGAAUUCGGAAGAUUUUAGAAAUUUAGGCUUGAAUCCGAUGUGUUUUGGUUGUUUUGAUGUUUUUUUUUUUUGGAAAAAACAUGCACUUCAGAUAUUAUUCAUAUCAGAAGUUAUUACAUCAUGAAUCAAAGAUAGGGGAUGCACAAUCCAUUCCAUCGCAUCAGACAUGGAACUCGCGGCCCUUGCUAACAUAUGGGCACGCUGCUUUGCUGACCUUUUAACAAAGUACAAAGAAAUAGAUGUAAAGUCGCGCAUGAGCUCUUUACAAUCUUGUACAAUAAUAUCAAAAUAAGAGUUGCCACUAUCGGAUCUUUCCAGAGCUUGCUUUGCCAAAAGACAAUCCAUCUCAAUAGUAAUAGGGGAUCUGUGAUGCUGCAUUUUCAACCAGCUCAAGGCUUCACGAACGGUUAGAAUUUCAGCUAUUACUGCAUCAUGUGAAGCUCCCAAUAAAGUGCUAAAACCUCGAACAAAAUUUCCAUGAGUGUCUCGAAUCAACAUACCAGCCCAUGCCCUUCCAGAGUUAACUUCAUAGAAAGCGUCAAUGUUGCAUUUCAGCGUACCCGGAUCAGGGGGAAACCACUUAACAACAAAUUCUGGCCUAGCCACAGAAUAAAUAUUAUUAUCAGAUCGCGUUGAAGUCCACUCUUUCCAGAAACGACUGGCUCUAAGAAUGAUAGUCUCUGGCCGCAUAGUUUUGCCAUUCCACACCAAAUUGUUGCGGGCAUUCCAGAUCUCCCAUAGGAGCAUUAUAGCCUCCUGCAGUUUUUCCUUUGUGACAGCUGCUACUAGUGCCGUGAACCAUUCCAUGAACGAGGCUCCCACUGGCCGCCACCCCAUAGAAGAUUUAAGCCAUACUAGUUUUGCCGCAGUGCACAUAACUAAACAAUGCAUGAUAGAUUCGGCAUAUUGAAGGCAUGCUGGACAAAUAUUACUUUGGAGAACCUUUUUAGAGAAUAAAUUUUCACCAGUAGGUAAAACUCCUUUCAAUGCCCGCCAAGCAAAAUUUAAGACCUUUGCUGGCAUUUUUAAGGUCCUGAGUUUCUUCCAAGUGUUACCAUCCGAACUCUGAAGAUUAUGAUUUUGUACCACCAAGUAGCCACUCUUAACAGUGUAGUUUCCUUUUCUAUCUAACUUCCACAUCCAAGUAUCAUCACAGAGAUUGAAUACCAAAGGAAUGUGUUUGAUACAAUUUAUCUCCUCAGCAGAAAAGACAGUUUCCAAGAGCUGCAAAUUCCAUGUUUUUAUAGCUUCAUCUAUCAAGUCUGCCACACAAAGAUUCAUGUUCUCAUCAUCUGGGAUACUUUGUAUAAACAUGGAUUGCCCCGUUGGUAGCCAUGGAUCAUGGUAGACCCGUGUAUCAAGCCCAUUUCCAAUCCUUUUCACACACCCCUUUUGAAGGAGAUAUUUUGCCGCACAGAGAGAACGCCAGAUAAAGCUAGGAUUUGAUCCCUCGCUCGCACUAAGAAAGUUACAGUUGCGAAAAUAUUUAACCUUGAGGACGCGGCUUACAAGAGCACAUGGUCUUGUCAAAAUUGUCCAGCCAGUUUUGGCCAACAACGCCGUAUUGGUAUGUUGAAGUCUCCGAAAUCCCAUACCACCCUCUCUUUUCUGUUUACUAAGGCGUUCCCAUGAAAUUCAUUUAAUUCCAGACCCCUCACUACCUCCAUUGCGCCACCAAAAUUCAUUCAUAGCGCAUUCAAUAGUAAGGCAUGUAUCAAUGGGCAAUGCAAAAAGAGACAUUAGAUAGUUCGGAAUUGCUUGUACAACUGUUUUCAGUAAAAUCUCCUUUCCUGCUCUUGACAGUAUUGCUCGUUUCCAACUUUGAAGUUUUGAACGCACUUUAUCCACAAUAUAAUUGAAGACCUCUUUCUUACUACGACCCACAAUAGCUGGAAGCCCAAGAUAUUGCCCAGGUUGAUCAACUGUCCUUACAUUAAGAAUAGAUGCAACUGAAUUAUUUUGUGCAUCAUUAGUGUUUCCACUAAACGAGAUCUCUGAUUUAUGGAGAUUAACACUGGCCUGAUGCUUGCUGAUACAGCAUAAGGCGAUUCUUAAUAGUACUUGCUUCAUUGUCCACUGCCUUGAAGAAAAAUAGUGCAUCAUCCGCAAAGAAAAGAUGAGAAACGGGAGGAGCAUGCGGCGUAAUCUUCACACCAUGCAAAGUUCCACUUUGUACAUAACACCUCAAAAGUGCUGAGAGACCUUCUGCCACAAUAAUAAAUAAGUAAGGUGACAACGGAUCGCCUUGACGAAGGCCUCGUGAUGGAAUGAUAUUACCAAAAUCUCUGCCCGCAUGAGAUAUUCGGUAUGACACGGUGCUAACCAUUCUCAUAACCUUCAAAACCCAAUCGAAAGAAAACCCAAGCUUGAGCAUAAUAUUUUUCAAAUAGUUCCAUUCCACUCUAUCAUAGGCUUUGCUCAUGUCCGUUUUUAAUGCAGCAAAACCUGUCUUCCUUGUGUUUUCCGUUUCAAUUAGUGAUUUAUCUCAAAAGAAAUCAUGGCAUUGUCAAGAAUAAACCUGCCAGGAAUAAAAGCGCUUUGAGCCUCAGAGAUAAUAUCAUUUAAACAAUGCUUUAUUCGAUUUGCCAUCAUUUUACAAGUAAUGCGAUCAAUGACAUUACACAAAGAUAUAGGUCUCAGAUCAGAAAUUGCUUCAGGCUUCUUCUUCUUUGGAAUUAAGACUAUCUUUGUGUUAUUAUGACCGGGUAUGUCACCAUUAUCAUUAACGCACCGUAAAAUCAUUGCGGAGACAUCCUUACCCACUACUGACCAAAAGCUGCGAUAAAACCCCUGAUUAAGUCCAUCUAGUCCUGGAGCUUUUUUUGGGUGCAUAGAGAAAAUUGCAUUUUUUACCUCAUCAGCAGUAAAAGCCCGAUUUAAGGACAGAUUAUGGGAUGUUGUAACCUUACUCUCAACAAAAUCAAGAACUGUAUGCAUGUCACAUUGUUUAGAGGUGAAUAAAGCAUCAAAAAAACUUGUGAUCACAUCUUGUAAACCAUUAUCCCAUCCACACCAUUGUCCCGAAUUAUCUUUCAGUUGUGUGAAAGUAUUUUUCUUUCGUCGAUUUGAGGCCAUAACAUGAAAUAAUUUUGUGUUGCUCUCACCCUCUCUCAACCAGUGUUGUUUAGCUCUCUGUUUCCAGUACAUAUUUUUUUGUUCAAGGGCCUGCAAAUAUGCUGCUUUAGCUGCAUCAAACAGUUGCAUAUGAUACGGGUGUGCACUAUUUUUAUAUUUUGUCAUCUGAGCCUUGGCUUGUUUCAACUUGACGUUAAAUUGUUGUCUUUUGUUCUUUUCCCAUUCUAGGAGAUAAGCACCACAACUCUUUAUCAUCUCGUCUAUAGGCAGGCCUUCUCCUUGUUCCCACGCUGUUUGGACUACUUGCUUAAUAUCUAUCUCUUUCAUCCAAGAGUUCUCAAACCGAAAAGGUUUUGCGGCAUAGCAAAUAACUUUCAUACCUAGAUUUAAAAAGAUUGCCGCAUGAUCUAAAGAAGCUGAUUCAAUGUGAAACACUUUGGCUUCUGGAAAAUAAUUUUUCCAAGCUCUUGUCGCCAUAGCACGAUCCAGUCUCUCUCGAACCUAGUUUCGGGUAUUUCUACAUCGUUCCCAAGUGAAGCGAUUUCCAGAGUAAUCCAGAUCGAAAAAGUUACAAAAAUGUAUCGCUUCCCUGAAACCAUUUAUUCUCCAUUCUGGUUGCUGAAUUCGACCCAGUUUAUCCCCGUAAUCAAGUAUAUCAUUAAAAUCACCACCAAUACACCAUGGGAGAUCUGAUUUGUCUUUUAGUGAUUUUAAUAAAUUCCAUGAUGCAAGCCUUUGAUGUGUUCCUGGAUAACCAUAGAAUCCUGUAAACCGAAACGUAGGAACACCUGGUACAUGUACUUCUACAUCAUUAUCAUGUCCCAUCCACAAUGCUCAAAGCACUCGACUCAUCGAAUUUUCUCUUUUUAUCAAAAGAAACUAAGGCAUUUGUUAUCAUAUCUGUUACUAUAUUCUCGUUCUCAUCCUCAUCCUUCUCUACCCAAUCAUUAUCGUCAUCCUCUCCCCCAGUUAAUAUCAUCUGCUUCUUUGGUUUACUAUUUCUGUUCUCCUCGCUCCCUUUAUGAUUAUUCUUUCUUCCCUGAUAUUCUGGAAAAUUUUCGUUUCUCACCCCCUCAUAGCUUGCAUUUCCUUUCCCAUGCUGCUCAUUCCCCAAAUCACCAAGAUUUUCUUUUCUAGUUCGCGGUGGUGGGUUAUUAUCAUUACACUGGAUAUUCGCCCUACCAUGCGUACCUUUCAUCUUUGAGAACCCGUGUCUCUCUGCCCAAUCCUCUGUUCGCAACCAUCUGGACCCCCCAUACUCGAUGAACGACGUUCUGACCGUAAAUAGGUAUCAUAUUGAAAAUGUGACUUAUCUACUCCCCAGGUUUGAAAGAGCUUUUGACAGAAUUUAUCAGUAUGGCCUAAUAUACCACAGUAGAAGCAGAAGGUUCCCAGCCGCUCAUAUGUAAAUGUCACCUGAAUACAUGUUCCUCCUGGCCGUCGAAUGUUCAUGUUCUUCCUUAGCGGGCUACGGACAUCAAUACUAAUCCUAACCCGCAUAUACUCUCACCAAAUUGAAUCAUGAUUUUUUGAGUCAGCCAAUACAAAGAUUCCAAUGGCAUUCCCAAUGUCCCGAACAACCUUCUCCGAUCUCAGGCCACCAACUAACCCAUGUAUUUGCACCCAAAUAUUUAGCUGUGUCAAUUCAACUUGUCUCGGGUUUUGUCCUGGUAAGAGUGGCCGCAUGACAAUAGGGCUCUGCAUAAAAUUCCAUGGAACAUCAGUCAGGACUCGCUCAUAAUCCAAUUCAUCAAAGAAUUGAAAAGCAAAAACAUUGUUCCCCAGUUCUUUUAGAACCAUCCCUUCCAUUGGUCGUAUAGCGUUUCCCAUCGCGUCUUGAAAAGAUCGAAGCACAACAUUCCUAUCAGUAAGUACCCGAGUGAUGACGUAGAAUUGUGGAUUGCCUUCAUGAUUUUCGUGUGCAGCAACUUCUUCAUCGUCAACAUAAUCCAGUUCGACCGGCGUAUCAUUUAUAUUCAAACCUGCGCAUCUUUCUUCCAGAGGCGUAUUGUCACUGUUGGGUCGAGGAGCAGAAUUCAUUUGCGUGUAUUACUAGAUAUGAUAAAGUGAAAAUUAGGGCUAGGAUAAGGAAAGAUUAGGGCUGUGUUCAACAAGAGGUCUGGCUCUCAGAUGGAGAGAGUUUAUAAUUACUGAUGGCUUAAAUAUGGAGGAUUUCCAUAGUAAGGUCGGAAUCAGAGAGAGAUUGGGACAUGACGGCUAGCGUUUCCAUGUUGUUUAAAGUGUUUUGAAGAUUUCUAUGUUGUUUGAAUUGUUUUGAAGAUUUGUACAAGUUUGAAUAAGGUGUUAGGAUAUGUUGAUGCCUUUGGUUGAGGUCAGAGGGGCCUCAGGAUGAAUUCGGAUGGUUAACGAAGGAAAUUUUGGAGUUGAAGUUGCUGCAGCAGCUGUUCUUCUAGUAUUUUCGCAUCUACGGUUUAGGGACCACAGAUGCGGAGCCGCAAAAGUGGCAAAGAGGACCACAGAAGCGAAACUGGGAAUCUCCUCAGGAACCGCAGAUGCAGUGAAUUGUCCGUAGAAGCGGAACCGCUCUUGCGGUUAGAGUUCCGUAGUUGCAAAAACUGGGUCCUUAAGUGAAAGUCGUAGAUGCAACACUUGUUCCGUAGAAACGGGACCGCAGAUACAGUCCCAGGGUCGCAAAUGCGGAAAUCGCUGGGCAAAACAUAUAAAUAGUUGUCUUCGCGAAUUUGAGGGAUUCUUUCACCAUUUUCAUCCGGGUUUGAAGCUUUUGAGAGAGAUUUUUAAGGAAAACAAAGGGGAAUCAUUUUUAGGUAACGUCUUUUCUUUGUAACUCGUUUUUUAUGUGAUUAAAGACCUAAUUAGUGGUGAGAAAUUUGGGAAAAAUGGGUAAUUAGGGCUUGUGUUUAAGAGGUCUUUAAAUAAGGAUUUGAGGGGCCAUUUGGACUCCGAUUUCAGUGUUCUUGUCAUGUAUAGACUCGUGAGAGUACGAGAUUUCUAAAAAUAUAAAUUUUACCCGAUUCCGAGGCGUGGACCAGAGGGGCAUUUUGGUCAUUUUACAUAAUUUCUCGUAUUAUCUUAGAAUUUAAUUGUAAAAUCAGUUACUUGAAGUGCUAUUUACAUUAUGCAAUUGAAUUGAAUAUAUUUGAGCCAUUUGGAGUCGUGUACUUAUGGCAAAGACGUGGUGUUAGGUUGAUUUUGAGCCGGUUCGAGGUAAGUGGCUUGUCUAACCUUGUGUGGGGGACCUUCCCCUUAUGAUUGGUAUAUUUGGUAAUUGAAAUGUCUUGUACGUGAGGUGACGAGUGUGUACUUGUGCUAAUUGUUGGAAAUCUGGUUUUCUUUAAGUAAUUACUAGUAUUUUUUCUUUCCUAUUUUUAUUUCUUGCACUAUUAAGCUUGUUGUUAGCUUAGGAAAGCAUGUCUAAGUGACUUAAUUGCUUUAUUUUAUUCAACCUGCCUUACUUGAAUUCUGUGCAGCAUACUAGGCUAGAAUCACUUAUUGCCUUAAUAUGAAAUUCUGCCAUUACUGUAUAUCUUCCUGCUACUACUGUAUAUUUAUUUUGGGAAUACGAAUGUGGGAUUCCAGUAGCUCCCCCUUGUCUAUUUACUUUGGGAAUACGGGUUAGAUUCCUGGUAGAUCCCCAUGUACAUUUACUUUGGGACUACGGGUUAGAUUCCCAGUAGAUCCCCCUGCACAGUUAUAUGGAACUAUGGGAAUGCACCCGGUAGAUUCCCCUAGUACUGGAUAUUUACAUUUGGUACUACAGAACGGGAUCCCGGUAGAUCCUAGCGCACUAUGAGUUGGACUAUGGGACGGGAUCCUGGGAGAUCUAUUGGAUAUGUACAUAUGGGACUACAGGACGGUAUCCUGGGAGAUCCCUGAUGGUUAUUAGUGGUGCUGAGCUAUAGUUCCUUUCCAUGUUUACCUUGUUUCUGUAUAGUUAUUGAUGUCCGGUACAUCCUGUGUUAUUUUACUGCCGUACUUAUUUAUACUGUUUUGUUCUAUACUGUUGAUCUUGAUAUUUAUUUAGCCUUAGUAGGGCCCUGACCUUCCUCGUCACUACCUAACCAAGGUUAGGCUUGACACUUACUGAGUACUGCUGUGUUGUACUCAUGCCUCUUCUACGCAUGUUUCUCAUGUGCAGAUUCAGGUACUGCUGAUCAUGCCUAUUAUCAUUGAGGGAGGCGACUGCUCUAGAGACUUCAAGGUACAUCUGCCGCGUCCGCAGACCGAGAAGUCCCUUUCUAUUCCUUCUUUUAGUAUUUAGCCCUUCUGUACUUUCCUGUUCUUAUUAGACAUUCUGGAGUUAGAGCUAUGUAGUAUUGAUCUUAGCUUGUGAUUCGUGGGUUUUCGGGACUUGGAUUUAGAUAUUGGUUUUGAGAUCUAUAAAUAUGGUGUAUGCCGAACAGCACAUUUAACAUUGUUAUUGCCUUAUUUCUGUUUUUAAA
rnacentral:lncRNA from 1 species